rnacentral:rRNA from 1 species
AGAACGAACGCUGGCGGCAGGCUUAACACAUGCAAGUCGAACGGUUGUAGCAAUACAGCAGUGGCAGACGGGUGAGUAACACGUGGGAACCUUCCUAGGGGUACGGAACAACUCAGGGAAACUUGAGCUAAUACCGUAUACGUCCGUGAGGAGAAAGAUUUAUCGCCCCUAGACGGGCCCGCGUAGGAUUAGGUAGUUGGUGAGGUAACGGCUCACCAAGCCUACGAUCCUUAGCUGAUCUGAGAGGAUGAUCAGCCACACUGGGACUGAGACACGGCCCAGACUCCUACGGGAGGCAGCAGUGGGGAAUCUUGGACAAUGGGCGCAAGCCUGAUCCAGCCAUGCCGCGUGAGUGAAGAAGGCCUUCGGGUUGUAAAGCUCUUUUACCAGGGACGAUAAUGACGGUACCUGGAGAAUAAGCCCCGGCAAACUUCGUAGCCAGCAGCCGC